rnacentral:rRNA from 1 species
UACGGAGGGUGCAAGCGUUAUCCGGAUUCACUGGGGUUAAAGGGUGCGUAGGUGGGCUAGUAAGUCCGUGGUGAAAUCUCCAAGCUUAACUUGGAAACUGCCGUGGAUACUAUUAGUCUUGAAUAUUGUGGAGGUAAGCGGAAUAUGUCAUGUAGCGGUGAAAUGCUUAGAUAUGACAUAGAACACCGAUAGCGAAGGCAGCUUGCUACACAAUCAUUGACACUGAGGCACGAAAGCGUGGGGAUCAAACAGG